GUUGUAUAGUCAAGUAAUUAAGUGCAUGUGGUGGAUGCCUUGGCAGUCAGAGGCGAUGAAAGACGUGAUAGCCUGCGAAAAGCUCCGGGGAGGCGGCAAAUAUCCUUUGAUCCGGAGAUGUCUGAAUGGGGGAACCCACCUACUUUAAGGUAGGUAUUGCAACAUGAAUACAUAGUGUUGCAAGGCGAACGAGGGGAAGUGAAACAUCUCAGUACCCUUAGGAAAAGAAAUCAAUUGAGAUUCCCUCAGUAGCGGCGAGCGAACGGGGAUCAGCCCAUUAAGUUAUGUGUGUUUUAGUGGAACGCUCUGGGAAGUGCGAACGUAGAGGGUGAUAUUCCCGUACACGAAAGGGCACACAUAAUGAUGACGAGUAGGGCGAGGCACGUGAAACCUUGUCUGAAUAUGGGGGGACCAUCCUCCAAGGCUAAAUACUCCUGACUGACCGAUAGUGAACCAGUACCGUGAGGGAAAGGCGAAAAGAACCCCUGUGAGGGGAGUGAAAUAGAUCCUGAAACCGCAUGCAUACAAGCAGUGGGAGCACCUUCGUGGUGUGACUGCGUACCUUUUGUAUAAUGGGUCAGCGACUUAUAUUCAGUAGCGAGGUUAACCGUAUAGGGGAGCCGUAGAGAAAUCGAGUCUUAAUAGGGCGUUUAGUUGCUGGGUAUAGACCCGAAACCAGGCGAUCUAUCCAUGAGCAGGUUGAAGGUUGGGUAACACUAACUGGAGGACCGAACCCACUGUCGUUGAAAAGCCAGGGGAUGACUUGUGGAUAGGGGUGAAAGGCUAAUCAAGCCUGGUGAUAGCUGGUUCUCCCCGAAAGCUAUUUAGGUAGCGCCUCGGACGAAUACCAUAGGGGGUAGAGCACUGUUUCGGCUAGGGGGUCAUCCCGACUUACCAAACCGAUGCAAACUCCGAAUACCUAUGAGUACUAUCCGGGAGACAGACUGCGGGUGCUAACGUCCGUAGUCAAGAGGAAAACAAUCCAGACCGCCAGCUAAGGCCCCAAAAUCAUAGUUAAGUGGGAAACGAUGUGGGAAGGCAUAGACAGCUAGGAGGUUGGCUUAGAAGCAGCCACCCUUUAAAGAAAGCGUAAUAGCUCACUAGUCGAGUCGGCCUGCGCGGAAGAUGUAACGGGGCUAAAACUAUGUGCCGAAGCUGCGGAUGUAUACUUUGUAUACGUGGUAGGGGAGCGUUCUGUAAGCCGAUGAAGGUGUGUUGAGAAGCAUGCUGGAGGUAUCAGAAGUGCGAAUGCUGACGUGAGUAACGACAAAACGGGUGAAAAACCCGUUCGCCGAAAGACCAAGGGUUCCAGUCCAACGUUAAUCGGGGCUGGGUGAGUCGACCCCUAAGGCGAGGCCGAAAGGCGUAGUCGAUGGGAAAAUGGUUAAUAUUCCAUUACUUCUGUGUAAUGCGAUGAGAGGACGGAGAAGGCUAAAUCAGCCUGGCGUUGGUUGUCCAGGUGAAAGGAUGUAGGCAUGUAUCUUAGGCAAAUCCGGGGUACUCUAUGCUGAGAUCUGAUAGCAAGCUGUACUUGUACAGCGAAGUGGUUGAUGCCAUGCUUCCAGGAAAAGUCUCUAAGCUUCAGUUACACAGGAAUCGUACCCGAAACCGACACAGGUGGUCAGGUCGAGUAGACCAAGGCGCUUGAGAGAACUCUGCUGAAGGAACUAGGCAAAAUGGUACCGUAACUUCGGGAGAAGGUACGCUGUUGUUGGUGAUGGAACUCGCUUCCUGAGCUGACGACAGCCGCAGAAACCAGGCCGCUGCAACUGUUUAUUAAAAACAUAGCACUCUGCAAACACGAAAGUGGACGUAUAGGGUGUGAUGCCUGCCCGGUGCUGGAAGGUUAAUUGAUGUGGUUAGCGUAAGCGAAGCUCUUGAUCGAAGCCCCAGUAAACGGCGGCCGUAACUAUAACGGUCCUAAGGUAGCGAAAUUCCUUGUCGGGUAAGUUCCGACCUGCACGAAUGGCAUAAUGAUGGCGGCGCUGUCUCCAGCAGAGGCUCAGUGAAAUCGAAAUCGCUGUGAAGAUGCAGUGUACCCGCGGCUAGACGGAAAGACCCCGUGAACCUUUACUGCAGCUUGACACUGAACUUUGACCUUACUUGUGUAGGAUAGGUGGGAGGCUUUGAAGCUGGAACGCUAAUUCCAGUGGAGCCGUCCUUGAAAUACCACCCUGGUAAUGUUGAGGUUCUAACUCUGUCCCGUGAUCCGGGACGAGGACCGUGUCUGGUGGGUAGUUUGACUGGGGCGGUCUCCUCCUAAAGAGUAACGGAGGAGUACGAAGGUGCGCUCAGCGUGGUCGGAAAUCACGCGUAGAGUAUAAAGGCAAAAGCGCGCUUAACUGCGAGACCCACAAGUCGAGCAGGUACGAAAGUAGGUCUUAGUGAUCCGGUGGUUCUGUAUGGAAGGGCCAUCGCUCAACGGAUAAAAGGUACUCUGGGGAUAACAGGCUGAUACCGCCCAAGAGUUCAUAUCGACGGCGGUGUUUGGCACCUCGAUGUCGGCUCAUCUCAUCCUGGGGCUGAAGCAGGUCCCAAGGGUAUGGCUGUUCGCCAUUUAAAGAGGUACGCGAGCUGGGUUUAGAACGUCGUGAGACAGUUCGGUCCCUAUCUACCGUGGGCGCUGGAAAUUUGAGAGGAUCUGCUCCUAGUACGAGAGGACCAGAGUGGACGAACCUCUGGUGUACCGGUUGUGACGCCAGUCGCAUCGCCGGGUAGCUAUGUUCGGAAGGGAUAACCGCUGAAAGCAUCUAAGCGGGAAGCCUACCUCAAGAUAAGAUUUCCCUAGGACUUUAUGUCCUCUAAAGAGCCGUUCGAGACUAGGACGUUGAUAGGUUGGAUGUGGAAGCAUAGUGAUAUGUGAAGCUGACCAAUACUAAUUGCUCGUGAGGCUUGACUAUACAACACCCAAGCAGUUG
rnacentral:rRNA from 1 species